rnacentral:rRNA from 1 species
GAUUAAGCCAUGCAUGUGUAAGUAUAAAUAGUUAACUUUGAAACUGCGAAUGGCUCAAUAUAUCAGUUAUAGUUUAUUUGAUGAAGAAUACUAAUUGGAUAACCGUAGUAAUUCUAGAGCUAAUACAUGUAUAAAGUCUUGUAGACUGCAUUUAUUAGAAUGAAAACCAUAGGUUUCGGCCUAUUCGUGAGUAAUAAUAACUAAUCAUAUCGUAUGCUUAGUAACGAUGUGUCUUUCAAGUUUCUGCCCUAUCAGCUUUCGAUGGUAGUGUAUUGGACUACCAUG